UACGUAGGGUCCGAGCGUUAAUCGGAAUUACUGGGCGUAAAGCGUGCGCAGGCGGUUUUGUAAGCCAGAUGUGAAAGCCCCGGGCUUAACCUGGGAAUGGCAUUUGGGACUGCAAAGCUGGAGUACGGCAGAGGGAGGUGGAAUUCCAGGUGUAGCAGUGAAAUGCGUAGAUAUCUGGAGGAACACCGAUGGCGAAGGCAGCCUCCUGGGCUAGUACUGACGCUCAUGCACGAAAGCGUGGGGAGCAAACAGG
rnacentral:rRNA from 1 species